AGGGAAUCUUCGGCAAUGGGGGCAACCCUGACCGAGCAACGCCGCGUGAGUGAAGAAGGUUUUCGGAUCGUAAAGCUCUGUUGUAAGUCAAGAACGGGUGUGAGAGUGGAAAGUUCACACUGUGACGGUAGCUUACCAGAAAGGGACGGCUAACUACGUGCCAGCAGCCGCGGUAAUACGUAGGUCCCGAGCGUUGUCCGGAUUUAUUGGGCGUAAAGCGAGCGCAGGCGGUUUGAUAAGUCUGAAGUUAAAGGCUGUGGCUCAACCAUAGUUCGCUUUGGAAACUGUCAAACUUGAGUGCAGAAGGGGGAGAGUGGAAUUCCAUGUGUAGCGGUGAAAUGCGUAGAUAUAUGGAGGAACACCGGUGGCGAAAGCGGCUCUCUGGUCUGUAACUGACGCUGAGGCUCGAAAGCGUGGGGAGCGAACAGGAUUAGAUACCCUGGUAGUCCACGCCGUAAACGAUGAGUGCUAGGUGUUGGAUCCUUUCCGGGAUUCAGUGCCGCAGCUAACGCAUUAAGCACUCCGCCUGGGGGAGUACGACCGCAAGGUUGAAAC
rnacentral:rRNA from 1 species